GUAUGAGUGUGUGUGUGUGUAUAUUAUGCAGAGUGUGUGCAUUAGAUACACACACUCUGCAUUAUAUACACAUACACACUG